rnacentral:rRNA from 1 species
GAUGAACGCUGGCGGCGUGCCUAACACAUGCAAGUCGAGCGAUUCUCCUCGGAGAAGAGCGGCGGACGGGUGAGUAACGUGUGGGUAACCUGCCCUGUACACACGGAUAACAUACCGAAAGGUAUGCUAAUACGAGAUAAUAAACUUUUAUCGCAUGGUAGAAGUAUCAAGGCUUUUGCGGUUCAGGAUGGACCCGCGUCUGAUUAGCUAGUUGGUAAGGUAACGGCUUACCACGGCGACGAUCAGUAGCCGACGUGAGAGGGUGAUCGGACACAUUGGAACUGAGACACGGUCCAAACUCCUACGGGAGGCAGCAGUGGGGAAUAUUGCACAAUGGGCGAAAGCCUGAUGCAGCAACGCCGCGUGAGCGAUGAAGGCCUUCGGGUCGUAAAGCUCUGUCCUCAAGGAAGAUAAUGACGGUACUUGAGGAGGAAGCCCCGGCUAACUACGUGCCAGCCGCCGCGGUAACAC